UCUCUCUUUCUCUCUCUCGCUCUCUCUCUGUCUCUCUCUCUUUAGUUCUAGACAGAGGACCCCCCCUCUGUCUCAUUUUGAACUCUCUAUCGUUUCCUCAUUGUUCCUGUUUGAUAAUGUUCAGAGUGCGCCACAGACUUGUGUGAUUUGACAAGUCAUCUUUUGUAGUGUUCAUGAGUGACUGGGUCCUUUGUGUCUCGACUUUAAUUGCUUGUGGUCAGAGUCGCUGGAGUCGAAGUUCAAAGCUGCUCCUGUCGCGCUUCACUGGGAGCCCAUAAGGUGCCAGGGCGAGGGCUUCGAUUCCCACCCGCUUCCACCCAGACUCAAAUGUGUGCUCUCACCAUGUUGAGAGGAUGUCCCAGAGGAGCAGCAUGCGUAGGGACCUCUAUUGAACUGCGUCUCACAGGCUCCUAAUUGGCAGUUUGAAGAAGUCAAGCAACCCAUGAUGGCUCCCUCAGCUGCCGACCCCCCAGCCCAGCCCUUCCCUCCCCAACCCCACCAUCCCCAACACCAUUACCACCACCACCUCCAAAAUGGCUGCCCAGCCACAGCCAUGUUCCACAUGUGCGCUGGUCCGGUGCAGAGCUCAGCUGUAAAUCCCCCUAUUUAGGUUUUUAUUCUCUCUCUGUUUCUUUCUUUCCUCGUAUUUUAUUAUCCUCUGUCCCUGGCGUCUGCUGUGCUCUGAUUUGUCAGCUCACCAUUGGGUGUAACAGAACACCGCACUAACCGACAUUUAGGUCAUUUCCUGCUCCUCAGACCAGAUAUUAUGGUGCCGCAAAGGUAGCCGAUGUUGCCAGAUUGAAGCUCUGUGUUGCCAUAUUGGGGACUCGGCUAAUCUAAUUAGAGAGCGAGGGUAAGAGGCCCCGGGGGCACGCGAGACUCGGGGCCCCCGGAGGGAGCCAGAAUUGUUUUGGUACAGUUUCUUUUUCCCCCAUCAGAAAAAUGAAAUGAAAUAAAAAAAACGUGGUAACGUC